UACGAAGGGGGCAAGCGUUGUUCGGAAUUACUGGGCGUAAAGGGCGCGCAGGCGGCCAGACAAGUCAGAUGUGAAAUCCCCGGGCUCAACCUGGGAACUGCGCUUGAGACUGGUGUGCUUGAGUACGGGAGAGGAUAGUGGAAUUCCCAGUGUAGAGGUGAAAUUCGUAGAUAUUGGGAAGAACACCGGUGGCGAAGGCGGCUAUCUGGACCGUAACUGACGCUGAGGCGCGAAAGCGUGGGGAGCAAACAGG
rnacentral:rRNA from 1 species